rnacentral:rRNA from 1 species
GCAAGUCGAGCGGAAACGAUCCUAGCUUGCUAGGAGGCGUCGAGCGGCGGACGGGUGAGUAACGCGUAGGAAUCUACCCAGUAGUGGGGGAUAGCCCGGGGAAACUCGGAUUAAUACCGCAUACGCCCUACGGGGGAAAGGCCGGGAUCUUCGGACCGGUCGCUAUUGGAUGAGCCUGCGUUGGAUUAGCUAGUUGGUAGGGUAAAGGCCUACCAAGGCGACGAUCCAUAGCUGGUCUGAGAGGAUGAUC